CCUACGGGUGGCUGCAGUGGGGAAUAUUGCACAAUGGGGGAAACCCUGAUGCAGCAACGCCGCGUGAGCGAUGAAGGCCUUCGGGUCGUAAAGCUCUUUCCUAAGGGAAGAAUACUGACGGUACCUUAGGAGGAAGCCCCGGCUAACUACGUGCCAGCAGCCGCGGUAAUACGAAGAGGGCUAGCGUUAUCCGGAAUUACUGGGCGUAAAGGGUGUGUAUUCUGUCAUUCAAGUCAUAGGUGAAAGGCUACGGAUCAACCGUAGUAAGCCUUGGAAAAUGUAGGGAUUGAGUGCAGUAAAGGUGGGUGGAAGUCACUGUGAUGCGGGAAAAUCCGUAGAUAGUGGAAGGAACAUCACUUGCGAAUGCGGCUCAAUAGGCAGUAACAGACGCUGAGGCACGAAAGCGUGAGGAGCGAACAGGAUAAGAUGCUCAGGUAGUC
rnacentral:rRNA from 1 species